ACAGCGAUAAAUUAUGCAACAGGAGGAAAACGGAGAAGGCCCUGAUGCCACCGGUAACGCAGCCUCUAGGAAUUUAACGGUGCUGUUGAAUCAGUCGUUUUCUCAAAUCGUGGGAGAUGACAUUUGUUCCUGUGACAAAAAUUUCGACCCAAUACAGUAAGCUGUUUAACUUUGUAAGAUGCAAAGGGAUUGGAUCAAGUUUAAAUGACUGUGCUGCCCCUUUUUACAUCAAAGAACUGAGAACUACUGACAACGAAGGCGCCUCCCUUUCCCAUCUGCCUGUCAGACUGUCAAGGAAGGAAAAUAACUUGCAUGUUGGUGAAGGAAGAAGCUGGGUGGGAGGACAGUGAGAUCUAGAGUAAAAACCAAGCUGGCCCAAGGUGUCCUGCAGGCUGUUAAAAUGCAGUUUAAUCAGAGUGCCAUUUUUGGUUCAAGUGAUUUUAAUUAUUGGAAUGCACAAUUUUUUGAAUAUGCAAAUAAAGUUUUUAAACCUGAAAAAAAAUGAAAGCA
rnacentral:lncRNA from 1 species